rnacentral:rRNA from 1 species
AUUGAACGCUGGCGGCAGGCCUAACACAUGCAAGUCGAACAAGUGGCGGACGGGUGAGUAAUGUCUGGGAAACUGCCUGAUGGAGGGGGAUAACUACUGGAAACGGUAGCUAAUACCGCAUACCAUCGGAUGUGCCCAGAUGGGAUUAGCUAGUAGGUGGGGUAAAGGCUCACCUAGGCGACGAUCCCUAGCUGGUCUGAGAGGAUGACAUGCCACAAUGGAAAGAAGACACGGUCAAGACUCCUAAGGGAGGCAGCAGUGGGGAAUAUGGGACAAGGGGCGAAAGCCUGAUGCAGCCAUGCCGCGGGUAUGAAGAAGGCCUUCGGGUUGUAAAGGACUUUCAGCGGGGAGGCGUUACCCGCAGAAGAAGCACCGGCUAACUCCGUGCCAGCAGCCGCGGUAAUAC